GACGAACGCUGGCGGCGUGCCUAACACAUGCAAGUCGAGCGGGGUCCAUCCAGUGGCAACACUGGGGAAGACCUAGCGGCGAACGGGUGAGUAACACGUGAGGAACUUGCCCCGGAGUACGGGAUAACCCGAGGAAAAUCGAGCUAAUACCGUAUGCCCUCUUCUGGUCGCAUCGCCGUAUGAGGAAAGAUUUAUCGCUCCGGGAGAGCAUUGCGGCCUAUCAGCUAGUUGGUGGGGGAAUGGCCCACCAAGGCAUCGACGGGUAGCUGGUCUGAGAGGACGAUCAGCCACACUGGGACUGAGACACGGCCCAGACUCCUACGGGAGGCAGCAGUGGGGAAUCUUGCGCAAUGGGCGAAAGCCUGACGCAGCAACGCCGCGUGCGGGAUGAAGGCCUUCGGGUUGUAAACCGCUUUCAGCAGGGACGAAACGGCGCAGACCAAUACCUUGCGCUAAUGACGGUACCUGCAGAAUAAGCACCGGCUAACUA
rnacentral:rRNA from 1 species